UCUACAAAUAGUCAGAGCCCGUUAACGGGUGAUGGCGUGCCUUUUGUAGAAUGAACCGGCGAGUUACGAUCCCGUGCGAGGUUAAGCUGAAGAGGCGGAGCCGCAGCGAAAGCGAGUCUGAAUAGGGCGUUUAGUACGUGGUCGUAGACCCGAAACCAGGUGAUCUACCCAUGUCCAGGGUGAAGUUCAGGUAACACUGAAUGGAGGCCCGAACCCACGCACGUUGAAAAGUGCGGGGAUGAGGUGUGGGUAGCGGAGAAAUUCCAAUCGAACCUGGAGAUAGCUGGUUCUCCCCGAAAUAGCUUUAGGGCUAGCCUUAAGUGUAAGAGUCUUGGAGGUAGAGCACUGAUUGGACUAGGGGUCCUCAUCGGAUUACCGAAUUCAGUCAAACUCCGAAUGCCAAUGACUUAUCC
rnacentral:rRNA from 1 species